rnacentral:rRNA from 1 species
UACGAGGGGGGCUAGCGUUGCUCGGAAUUAUUGGGCGUAAAGAGCUCGUAGGCGGUCUGUCGCGUCGAUCGUGAAAACUUGGGGCUUAACCCUGAGCUUGCGGUCGAUACGGGCAUGACUGGAGUUCGGCAGGGGAGACUGGAAUUCCUGGUGUAGCGGUGAAAUGCGCAGAUAUCAGGAGGAACGCCGGUGGCGAAGGCGGGUCUCUGGGCCGAUACUGACGCUGAGGAGCGAAAGCGUGGGGAGCGAACAGG